CAGCACCUCAAGUGGUCAGGAUGAUUAUUGGGCCUAAAGCAUCCGUAGCCGGCGCUGUAAGUUUUCGGUUAAAUCUGUACGCUCAACGUACAGGCUGCCGGGAAUACUGCAGCGCUAGGGAAUGGGAGAGGUAGACGGUACUCGGUAGGAAGGGGUAAAAUCCUUUGAUCUAUUGAUGACCACCUGUGGCGAAGGCGGUCUACCAGAACACGUCCGACGGUGAGGGAUGAAAGCUGGGUGAGCAAACCGGAUUAGAUACCCGAGUAGUCC
rnacentral:rRNA from 1 species